AUCAGUCCCUCCCUGUGUGUCUGAUCACCCAGUGCUGACUCACUGUUCUCUGUGUGGUGUGUCUCUGUGCCUGCGUCCCUCCACCAACACUAGGAGGAGAAGUGUCUGGACUUUGCUCUGUCCUGCACUGGCUGAUUAGCCGCUGUUAGAGCAAAGAAAAGCGAGCCUUGAGCUUGUGCACACAGGGAACUAAAGGUCUGCUAGAAUCGGCUGCGCUCUCUCCGCUCCUGUCCACCUCGUGUCCUCAGGGGAAACCUCAGAAUGCUCAUUCCUGCCCAGAAACCAGCCCAGCGUUGAACUCUGACCCCACAUCAGAGUUCUCUAAAGGCUGCAGGGGAAACCAUAUGUCCAGCUCCCAUGGCGAUACUUCUCAUCCACGUCACACCAAAGCUCGCUCAAAGAAAUGCAAACGAGAGGCUCUGCAUAUUCCCAACCCUGCAUUUGAUGUCCCUGUUUCCCCUACCUCUCCGGACGCUGCCCCUGACUCCAAAGCCAGGAGCCACAAAGGAGGCAGCCUCACCCCGUUGCACUGACUGUCUUGAAUGAUGUUUUUCACAAGUCAAACACUGUUUGAGGCUUGCAUGCUGUAACACAGUCAGAUCCAAGUUAUAUGAUUUUUUUUGUUUGGUCAUUCCUGUUGGUUCUCUAAAACUCCAGGAGCAUUGAAGAUGUUUGGUCAUUGAGUAAGACAAUCACAGUGGAAACAGGACAGAUUGGAUGAAGAUUAUUCUAGAUGCAACAUAGCACUGGUGUAGGGAAAAGUUCUAAGAAGGGCUGUGAGCCGUAGGUUUUCUGAUGAUUCUUGUGUAAAAAAACAAAUUUACCAGCAUGUCAGAUUUCACCAAAUUUGUGAAACAGCGGCUUUAAUGUAUCAGCUCGAAAGACUUUGUUUGGAGGAUGAAAGCUCUGAAUUGUGUAUAUCUAUAAAGAGAAGAGCCUUGAAGGGAAAAUCCACCCAAAAAUGUUCACAUCGAUAGCAUCAUCUCAAGCUGCACAGGCAGUGAUUAAUGGAACAAGUUGCAGGACUCGUAGACAAAAGCACUUUCUUGUGGAAUCACCUGUUUAGCUCACUGGGUUAAGCAGGCAACCCAUAUGCCGUAAGACAUGUCUUCCCCCUGGUCUUCCCCCAGGCUUCCUGUCUUCUCUUUGCUCUCCUAUUGCAAUAUAAUCCAUAUAAUUUGGUACAGAAUUUAUAUUGAGUAAAUAUUUAGUCACCACAGCCACCACAGGUGGGUAAGGUUCGGCCACCCCUUCUGCCCAGUAAGUGUCAAAUGGCAAUGUCUGAGCCUGUACUGUACAGUGGAUGAAAUAUCUUGUAAUUUAUUCAUUUGGAUUGUUGUAGGGCUUUAGGGGUAUGUCUGCUCUGAUUAACAGGUGUACCACCACCUGUCAUUUUCUGUUCUGCUCAUUUAAAUCUCUGAACUGUAUCUCUGGGCUGUGUUUGAGGAGGUGGUUCUUUUUGGAACAUUUUUAAUUAAAUAUUAAUACUCUUAAUAAGCUUUUGUUUCAGUUUUACUGUAGGGAAUUUAUUCUUCUGUUACUUGACACUUUUAAAAACUUUAAAAAAAAAAAAAAGUUUUACAUAAAAUGCUUGUUAUGCAUGAGUCCUCACGUCGUACCUUUAUAUGGCAGUCAUGCCUAAAUGAGCAAAUGAUUAGGAAUGAUUUGGUACAUCUGGUAAGCAAUCAUUUGGUACUACAACAAUCUGUAAAGUGGGGAAACAAGAACUAGAAAUAAGUUCUGAGCUCAACCUGGCCACCUCUUUAAAAACUAUCUGGAUCUGUGGCUGCUUCCACUGGCUUUCAGUCUAACAGAACCUGAGGGUACCAAAUGUAGAGAUAGGGAUAUGACUGAACUAUGCACUUGUUUUUUUCCCCCACAUCUAUAAUAAUGCAGACAAAGAUUUGGUCCACUGACUUUAGUGACAUUAAAUAUUGGAUUAAUGAUUCAAAUCUAUAUGUAAAACACCUCAUUUUUCACUGAAGGUGCUGACUUUGUGUUCUAAAAUAAGCAAAAUGUGAAUUUUUGUUGUGUGGAUUUUUCCAUUGACCUUGCACGAACAGCACAGUGGAUAAGAUGUAAAUCAGUUUAGUGGUGUGUACUGUUGUUCAGAUCUACGUGCUAUAAAAUGGAAUUGAGUGCAACUGCAUGGUCAUGACUAAAAGGUGUAUUUUAUGAUAUGUUUCUUUAAAUACAUUCAGACAUUACACCAUCUCAACACACCUUUUUGUAGGAAACCAGUGUUGUGUUUCAAAACUGAAACAGUAUUACUGAUUCCCGCUUGUAUUCUUAUCACCAUCACACAAUGAUUUAAAGCUCCUUUCCACAUGUCCACCUCCUGCUCACACACCUUGUGUCAGUAAUAGCAAUACCUUCUCUCUUCUCCUUUCCCUAAAAUUGUUUUUCUUUGUGCACUUUGACAAAUCUGAGACUUGUGUGAAUGGAGGAUGUACUGGUUUGUUCUCAGGUGAAAGCUUUAGGUUAGGUAUUCAAUAUGCAAGUUCAAUGUGACAUGUGUUCACACACAUUGUGACCCGAUGGCAAUAGCUGCACAAAAGUGCAAAGACCCCAACUAUCAUGUACACACUGUCCGUCUAUAGUUCACCUAAAGAGUGUCUGUGCAGCAUCUGCUGUGUCAAAAGUCACCCCAACACCCUCAGUGACAUCACUAAGUGAAUGCGAGUGAUGCAUUUAUUAGGAGAAACAUACUGUACUGUAUUUGUACCAACUGUAAGGUAAAUUAAGCCAAUGCUCCUGUCAAAAUAAAG
rnacentral:lncRNA from 1 species